UUGAACGCUGGCGGCAGGCCUAACACAUGCAAGUCGAACGGUAACAGGAAGCAGCUUGCUGCUUCGCUGACGAGUGGCGGACGGGUGAGUAAUGUCUGGGAAACUGCCUGAUGGAGGGGGAUAACUACUGGAAACGGUAGCUAAUACCGCAUAACGUCGCAAGACCAAAGAGGGGGACCUUCGGGCCUCUUGCCAUCGGAUGUGCCCAGAUGGGAUUAGCUAGUAGGUGGGGUAACGGCUCACCUAGGCGACGAUCCCUAGCUGGUCUGAGAGGAUGACCAGCCACACUGGAACUGAGACACGGUCCAGACUCCUACGGGAGGCAGCAGUGGGGAAUAUUGCACAAUGGGCGCAAGCCUGAUGCAGCCAUGCCGCGUGUAUGAAGAAGGCCUUCGGGUUGUAAAGUACUUUCAGCGGGGAGGAAGGGAGUAAAGUUAAUACCUUUGCUCAUUGACGUUACCCGCAGAAGAAGCACCGGCUAACUCCGUGCCAGCAGCCGCGGUAAUACGGAGGGUGCAAGCGUUAAUCGGAAUUACUGGGCGUAAAGCGCACGCAGGCGGUUUGUUAAGUCAGAUGUGAAAUCCCCGGGCUCAACCUGGGAACUGCAUCUGAUACUGGCAAGCUUGAGUCUCGUAGAGGGGGGUAGAAUUCCAGGUGUAGCGGUGAAAUGCGUAGAGAUCUGGAGGAAUACCGGUGGCGAAGGCGGCCCCCUGGACGAAGACUGACGCUCAGGUGCGAAAGCGUGGGGAGCAAACAGGAUUAGAUACCCUGGUAGUCCACGCCGUAAACGAUGUCGACUUGGAGGUUGUGCCCUUGAGGCGUGGCUUCCGGAGCUAACGCGUUAAGUCGACCGCCUGGGGAGUACGGCCGCAAGGUUAAAACUCAAAUGAAUUGACGGGGGCCCGCACAAGCGGUGGAGCAUGUGGUUUAAUUCGAUGCAACGCGAAGAACCUUACCUGGUCUUGACAUCCACGGAAGUUUUCAGAGAUGAGAAUGUGCCUUCGGGAACCGUGAGACAGGUGCUGCAUGGCUGUCGUCAGCUCGUGUUGUGAAAUGUUGGGUUAAGUCCCGCAACGAGCGCAACCCUUAUCCUUUGUUGCCAGCGGUCCGGCCGGGAACUCAAAGGAGACUGCCAGUGAUAAACUGGAGGAAGGUGGGGAUGGCGUCAAGUCAUCAUGGCCCUUACGACCAGGGCUACACACGUGCUACAAUGGCGCAUACAAAGAGAAGCGACCUCGCGAGAGCAAGCGGACCUCAUAAAGUGCGUCGUAGUCCGGAUUGGAGUCUGCAACUCGACUCCAUGAAGUCGGAAUCGCUAGUAAUCGUGGAUCAGAAUGCCACGGUGAAUACGUUCCCGGGCCUUGUACACACCGCCCGUCACACCAUGGGAGUGGGUUGCAAAAGAAGUAGGUAGCUUAACCUUCGGGAGGGCGCUUACCACUUUGUGAUUCAUGACUGGGGUG
rnacentral:rRNA from 1 species